UACAGAGGGUGCGAGCGUUAAUCGGAAUUACUGGGCGUAAAGCGCGCGCAGGCGGUUUCUUAAGUCUGAUGUGAAAGCCCACGGCUCAACCGUGGAGGGUCAUUGGAAACUGGGGAACUUGAGUGCAGAAGAGAAAAGCGGAAUUCCACGUGUAGCGGUGAAAUGCGUAGAGAUGUGGAGGAACACCAGUGGCGAAGGCGGCUUUUUGGUCUGUAACUGACGCUGAGGCGCGAAAGCGUGGGGAGCAAACAGG
rnacentral:rRNA from 1 species